AGUGAUGGGACCCAAAGCAUACAGAGACAAUGAGAAACGCAAUGAUGGCACCCUGGAAACCCUUUUUGAGUUCACUGCCUUUCUCACUAUCUCCAAAGGCUGCUGAUUGUGGCACUUGUGGAUGAAGUUCACUCUGCUUCUGUAAUAAAAAAAGGCCUUUCACUGUCGGACUUUCACCAUCCUGAUUUCCUCCCAACAUGACAACCAUCUACUCCUGCAUUGUAAAUUAAGACCUCAUAGUGAGCUCCUAUGAAGCGGAACUUGGGUAUAAAUCCAUGUUGCUGUGGCUCUGAAAUCCAAGAACUUUCUACCACAAUGCAGUGAAAUCAAGGCACUCCUUGCUGCCCCUACUACCUCACACAUAUGCUAUAGUAAA